UACGUAGGGAGCUAGCGUUGUUCGGAAUUACUGGGCGUAAAGCGCGCGUAGGCGGCUUUUUAAGUCAGGGGUGAAAUCCCGGAGCUCAACUUCGGAAUUGCCUUUAAGACUGCAUCGCUUGAAUCAUGGAGAGGUCAGUGGAAUUCCGAGUGUAGAGGUGAAAUUCGUAGAUAUUCGGAAGAACACCAGUGGCGAAGGCGACUGACUGGACAUGUAUUGACGCUGAGGUGCGAAAGCGUGGGGAGCAAACAGG
rnacentral:rRNA from 1 species